AGCGAACGCUGGCGGCAGGCUUAACACAUGCAAGUCGAACGGGCAUCUUCGGAUGUCAGUGGCAGACGGGUGAGUAACACGUGGGAACGUACCCUUCGGUUCGGAAUAACUCAGGGAAACUUGAGCUAAUACCGGAUACGCCCUUUUGGGGAAAGGUUUACUGCCGAAGGAUCGGCCCGCGUCUGAUUAGCUUGUUGGUGGGGUAACGGCCUACCAAGGCGACGAUCAGUAGCUGGUCUGAGAGGAUGAUCAGCCACACUGGGACUGAGACACGGCCCAGACUCCUACGGGAGGCAGCAGUGGGGAAUAUUGGACAAUGGGUGCAAGCCUGAUCCAGCCAUGCCGCGUGAGUGAUGAAGGCCUUAGGGUUGUAAAGCUCUUUUGUCCGGGACGAUAAUGACGGUACCGGAAGAAUAAGCCCCGGCUAACUUCGUG
rnacentral:rRNA from 1 species